rnacentral:tRNA from 2 species
AACAUUGAAGUAAAAUUUACAAUUAGUUUCGACCUAAUAUUUAGGAAUAAUUCCCUAUGUUU